rnacentral:rRNA from 1 species
GCUCAGAGUAUAAGCCAAUGGAGCUUGGAAGGCUUCCGCAGGUGGCGUUCAUCAUACGUGGUGUUCUUAAGACCUUGAGUAAAGCUCGUCAGGCGUAGCAUUGAGUUUGCCAGGUUUAGCUGUCGUGCGGGGGCUUAGCGAGGGGGGACUUUGCUUCGGCUUAGCUAUCCCCCGAGCGGCCCUUUGGAAUGGACGUUCAGAGGCUCUUGGUCUAAUGCGGUUAUGCCCACCACAGCACGUUGUGAGGUCACCCACAGGCUCAAACUGCCGAUCGCGCAUCCAGGACGAUGGCAACGAUGCGUUGUUGAUGAUGGCUCGAAAGAGACUUGACUCAGACGCGUGUCUAGUCCUGGGUCGGGCGGCGACCGAGAUAAACCUGGUAUGAUCCUCUUGCGACGAGCUGCUUUCUGGCCAGACCGACGUCCGGGCGCUUCCACUGUGCCGGAAGUGUCUAUCCCAGGCGGUCUUGACCCAGCUGCAUUAUGCAAGGUCUCUCAGCCGGGCGUUGGUCUGAGUGGUGUUAAGUCCAGCACCAUCGGUCACGUCUCGAAACACGGGCCAAGGAGUAUAGCAUGUGUGCAAGUCUAAGGGUCUCACAAAACCCGAAGGCGAAGUGAAAGCAAGACUGUGGCGGGGGAGCUACGGCAAACCCGCCGGCCUGGUGGCGCUUGCGUCGCCGGCUUAAACAGAGCUGAUCCUGUUUUCUCGGUUAAUUCUUGGUGCAGGCGCAAGCUCCGGGCUCACGUACAACACUGGUCACGCCUCGUG